rnacentral:pre_miRNA from 1 species
UGAGAACUGAAUUCCAUAAGCUUUAAUAUACAAACAAAUGCUGUGGAUUCAGUUCUGCC